GACUCGUUUUGUGAGAGCAGUGAGGGAGGGAUGAGUGGGAGAACUGGUGUGAACCUCAGUCUUUGCAGUUCUUCAGCUUCACAGUUGCAGGAUCCUGCUUGCGCAUCAUUGCACAGCAGUAAAUGGCACAGCUGAGAUGGCAACUGAAGGCUCCUAACUCCCAAACCCGGGGCCUUUUCCACUGGGCCCAGGUGGCAAAUAAGCUCUUCACAAUCUCCUCAGGAAAAAAAAUAAAUCACCCAAGUGCAGGUGCUGGUAGCCUGGCUUAGCGAGGCAGCCCCAGUUUUCUCCUGAUCUGCUUCUCAGGGAAUAUUCCCAUCCACACAUAGUUCAUGCAGCACAAAUUGGGAUGCCUUGUGCUGCUGCAGAUCACACAGCACUCUAAUUUCUGCUUGUUUGUGCACGUGUGACCGCUUUUUGGAUGUUAGCAGGGACCCAGGACACAUAACUGCAGCUGGUCAUCAAAUGGAAAGUCUUCUGUGGAGGCAUAAAAAAUGUGUUGAUCCAGAAGAAUUGCCCUGAGCAUACUACUCUCCUUCAGCUGUGGAUGUGUGCUGCAGAGCCCUGAACUUAAGAGUAUUUUUAUUGCUCUUGAUCCUUCUCCUUGGUAAGGAUUCUGCCUGUUCAGGAGUGCCUCAGGUUCCCUGCCUGCCCUUCUUUGGAAACCUGUCCUCCUGGAAGCACCUCUCCAAUCUCACUUUGUGACUGAAGAGCAUCACUGAGUCCUCUGGGUCCCUUACCCUUCUUCUUGGCACUUGCAGGGGUAUUUCCAUUCAGACAUCCCGCAGGUUCUUGGUCACUUUUAUUUAAUUCAGAAAACUAUCUGAACAUAUGACCCUUGCCAGGCUGCAUAGGGGCACAGUUACCCAUAAAAUGCCUGUGCAAGCCCAGGACCAGAGGUGGACGAGGCUCCUGGUGUUGGUUCAUGUGGCAGCCAGCGUACUUACAGCAUCGAGGUGUAAUGCAGGUUUCAAGCCAGCUUUGAGUCUUUGACAGCCCAUGCCUGACCGAGGAAAUGAGCACUCAGAUGGCUGCCUGAGUCGGUGCCCAAGAGGACAGCAGAAGAAACUAAUGAAAUAGAGCAGGGCUGUAAUACUGAAGUCAUUUGUUGACUGGAGGACUCUCUUUUCUUGCUGGAGAAGGCUGGAAAUGCAUAAUGAAUGAGGCAGGAUACUCCAGAAAGUUGUAAAAUGGUCUCAGAGGGGCGGCUCGACGCCUUUGUGGAGAGCUAGGUUCUGUCUCUCGCUCAGCCACAGACUUGGUUUCUAUCCCUUAAACGGAAAAGUUGACCACAAAGUGCAUGCUUCUCAUUUUCUGCAUGUCCGAGGGAAUAAGGUGUGAUGAGGAAGCAGUGCUGGGCACCCCAUUACCACACUUUCCAUAGCCACAGAGCCGUGUUCGGCUGCAGGAGCUGAACAGAGGAAACCUGACGCUGGGAUAUAUUUUACAGCAUGGCAGCUGUAAUGCAGGAUCAUAAGAAAUGUUUGCAUUUUUAAAUGUUUUAUCUUCUGUUUAAGGGGUAGUGUUUCUGGCAGGGAAAGAAUAUAUAAGGGUAUUAAAUGGCUUUCUUUGCAGGCAAUUAAACAAUGAAGCUGAUCUAAGGCAUUUAAAUAAUUGUAACAGAUGUUUAUUGCCUUAGUGCAGUUUACUGCGUCCUAUUAUUCCCAUUACAUACAGGAGAGAAGAACACAUGGCAAACUGUACCGUAAGAGAAAUUCUUUACUGCCUCGUGAGCUGUGCGGCUGCUUCUUUGACUUCUUAAUUGAAUCACCUUGGGAACGAGUCAGUAAUAAAUAGUAUUUGAAGAGCAGAUAAGUAACUAGCUGCCUGGAGGAGCAGCAGCAACUGGUAUGCGAAGGCACGGGGCUGGUGGUAAACACCUUCAAGCAAACAAACUGCGGUGGGAUUACUCCAAGAGUGAUGCUUGCCUCACUCUCAUUUAGGAUUUCAGUGUCUCCUGAGGUUAUACCGGGUGUUUCUGGAGACUCUCGUUUCCUGAAAUCCACAUUUUGUGAUACAUUGAGGGAGGAGAGAGAACUUGGAGCCUUGUGUGGGUGUUAGACAGGUCAUUUGUAGUUCCAGUUUGCCACAGAUUUGCCAUGCGCUUUGUUUCUUAUCCCUUAUCUGAGUGAGAUGGGGUGGCAGCAGUUUCUGGGCUGCUCAGGGUGCUGCAUAUAGCAUGGGGAGGGAUGCCUUGGGUCAGGCUGAAAGUGCAGGUAGCCCCAUGUCCUCCUGUAACCUCUGGCAAUGGCCUCUGGUGGGUGACCAGGCAUCAGUGAAGGACAAGCAUACGUGGUAUUUCCCCCAAACACUCUCCAACCACUUUUGUUGCAGGGCCAAAUGCAUUUUCUUUGACUUUAAUAAUGUAUUUCAGCACCAUGUAUUUAGUUCUGUGUAUUUAAUAAUAGAUUUUUCUGUCUGUUCUUCCCUUGAAUUUAAGCAUUCAGAACAGCCCAUGUAGGACAGCAAGUACCCUAGAGGAACCCAGAAGCUUUUCAUCACCUGGCUAAUUUUAUUUAUUUAUUCUUUAAAGGGGCAUUUACUUCCUACAAACAAACAAACAAAAAACCAACAACACAGAAUUCCAGAAACCACACCCCACUCAGUCGCAAAUCCCCCCACAAAAGCCUAUAAACUUUCAAACUCUAGCCUAGUAUCCCUCCACUUGUCUUGGCUUUGACUAAAAUUUGAGGCUUUUUCAGCGAACAUCUCAUCUUUUCAACCUCAAUAAAGAUUUCAUAUGCCCUAAUAAUGGAGGGGAAAAAAGGGAAAAAAUAAAAAGCUUACUGCCAUCACUUCAGAACACAACUGUAAUAUUCAAUAUUCCCCAUCUCCCUUGUGCCCUUUUGAUGAAAGAGGAAGAUUCUGAGGAGACUGUCUUCCUCAGAAGUAAUAACAAUUAUUUGACUUGUUAUCAUUUCCCCACAGCUCACCCUUUCCAUGUGGGGCAGAUCUUUUCCCCUCCUUGUGUGUCUGCUGACAGUAUAGUAGGCAGCAAAGCUUGCAUUAAGGACACAGGGAGAUG